rnacentral:rRNA from 1 species
UACAGAGGGUGCAAGCGUUAAUCGGAAUUAUUGGGCGUAAAGCGCGCGUAGGUGGUUUGUUAAGUUGGAUGUGAAAGCCCCGGGCUCAACCUGGGAACUGCAUCCAAAACUGGCAAGCUAGAGUACGGUAGAGGGUGGUGGAAUUUCCUGUGUAGCGGUGAAAUGCGUAGAUAUAGGAAGGAACACCAGUGGCGAAGGCGACCACCUGGACUGAUACUGACACUGAGGUGCGAAAGCGUGGGGAGCAAACAGG